GACGAACGCUGGCGGCGUGCCUAAUACAUGCAAGUAGAACGCUGAAGAGAGGAGCUUGCUCUUCUUGGAUGAGUUGCGAACGGGUGAGUAACGCGUAGGUAACCUGCCUUGUAGCGGGGGAUAACUAUUGGAAACGAUAGCUAAUACCGCAUAACAAUGGAUGACACAUGUCAUUUAUUUGAAAGGGGCAAUUGCUCCACUACAAGAUGGACCUGCGUUGUAUUAGCUAGUAGGUGAGGUAAUGGCUCACCUAGGCGACGAUACAUAGCCGACCUGAGAGGGGGAUCGGCCACACUGGGACUGAGACACGGCCCAGACUCCUACGGGAGGCAGCAGUAGGGAAUCUUCGGCAAUGGGGGCAACCCUGACCGAGCAACGCCGCGGGAGUGAAGAAGGUUUUCGGAUCGUAAAGCUCUGUUGUAAGUCAAGAACGGGUGUGAGAGUGGAAAGUUCACACUGUGACGGUAGCUUACCAGAAAGGGACGGCUAACUACGUG
rnacentral:rRNA from 1 species